UACGGGGGGGGCAAGCGUUGUUCGGAAUUACUGGGCGUAAAGGGCUCGUAGGCGGCCAACUAAGUCGGAUGUGAAAUCCCCAGGCUCAACCUGGGAACUGCAUCCGAUACUGGAUGGCUUGAAUUCGGGAGAGGGAUGCAGAAUUCCAGGUGUAGCGGUGAAAUGCGCAGAUAUCGGGAAGAACACCCGUGGCGAAGGCGGCUCUCUGGAACGCAACUGACGCUGAGACGCGAAAGCGUGGGGAGCAAACAGG
rnacentral:rRNA from 1 species